rnacentral:rRNA from 1 species
CCUACGGGUGGCAGCAGUGAGGAAUAUUGGUCAAUGGACGAGAGUCUGAACCAGCCAAGUAGCGUGAAGGAUGACUGCCCUAUGGGUUGUACACUUCUUUUAUAAAGGAAUAAAACGAGGCACGUGUGCCUUUUUGCAUGUACUUUAUGAAUAAGGAUCUGCUAACUCCGUGCCAGCAGCCGCGGUAAUACGGAGGAUCCGAGCUUUAUCCGGAUUUAUUGUGUUUAAUGGGAUCGUAGAUGGGUUGUUAAGUCAGUUAGGAAAGUGUGCGGUUAAACCGUAAAAUUGCAAUUGAUACUGGCAGUAUUGAGUACAGUUGAGGGAGGCGGAAUUCGUGGUG